CCUUGCCUACGGGAGGCAGCAGUAGGGAAUUUUCGUCAAUGGGCGCAAGCCUGAACGAGCAAUGCCGCGUGAACGAGGAAGGUCUUCGGAUCGUAAAGUUCUGUUGAAGGGGAAAAAGAGCGGAGAGAGGAAAUGGUCUCCGAUUGAUAUUACCCUUCGAGGAAGUCACGGCUAACUACGUGCCAGCAGCCGCGGUAAUACGUAGGUGGCGAGCGUUAUCCGGAAUGAUUGGGCGUAAAGGGAGCGUAGACGGCAGG
rnacentral:rRNA from 1 species